GCAUUUCAGACUUUGUCAGUCUUGCCACAAAAAGGAGGGCAUUCGAUGGCAUUAUGACAGUAAAGAGACUGGAAGAGGAAAAGAGGAUCCUCGUAGGAGAGAUGGACCGUCAUUGGAAAUCUCUGUCAUCCUAUGAAGAUGCUCUAAAGGAGCUUCCCCGCCUGUUAUCGAGCGGCAAAUUUAAAAGUUCGUCCUGUUCCCUAACUGAUGAAGCUCUAAGAGGUCUCCAGAGCAUCAUCCUCAGAGAGCUACAGCACUUAAAACAAAUGAAACUGCAGGCAAGAGAACAUUAUCUACAGACUUUGUCAGGAGCAGAAAGUGUUUGUUUCGACGAUACUUCUGAUGACGACUUUGGUAGUGACUCGGAAGCUUCUGAUAAUAGUCUGUAAUCAUUUGUGCAUAUACUGCUGACAAAGAUCUACACUAGCGUGACAGUAUUCGGCUCCUUCUGGAUUGACCAAUAUGUCACAAGUAAAGUAUGUUUGCUCAUAAGUCACAAAGAGACACAAUUCUGUUUAAAUUUGUUCUUGUGCUUUCAUGUUUCCAAAUUGGCAGUGUUUUAUUUCGGUGAUUCUUUUUUUAAAAAUAGUUAAUAUGUUUGUGCCUUUUUACUUUCUAAAAGGGCUUACUAGGGCUGUGAUUACUUGCGCAGGCAUGUCAUUCAUUUUGUUUCUUUUUCAUUAUGUUUCUCCAUAUCUACUGUAUUUCCAGAUAAUAGUAAGAGUAAUUUUACUGUAGUUAAUAAUUUUAGUUACUACUUUUACUUCAAAUGGAGUAAUAACAGUUGUGCUUAUGUUUAGCAGUUUAAAAAUGGCUACAACACUACAUUAAGCAGUCGCAGUGAUUCUGCACUAACCAAGACAUCUUUUUGGAUAUUAUACUUUUAUUUUCUUUUUUUAUUAACAUGUGCAGCUCUGACUUAUUUUUUAAUUCAAUAAACACAUAGUGUAUAGUGGUGGAACACUUCGUUGUCUGUGGUCACUUGAAUUCUGUUCAAUUUUUCUGUCAAUUUCUGUAUUAAAAAGAAAUGAGUUGCAAAGUUUCA